UUAAAGGAAUUGACGGAAGGGCACCACCAGGAGUGGAGCCUGCGGCUUAAUUUGACUCAACACGGGAAAUCUCACCAGGCCCGGACACCGGAAGGAUUGACAGAUUAACAGCUCUUUCUUGAUUCGGUGGGUGGUGGUGCAUGGCCGUUCUUAGUUGGUGGAGCGAUUUGUCUGGUUAAUUCCGGUAACGAACGAGACUCUAGCCUGCUAAAUAGGCGUCGUCAUUUAGGUGUGCGUGGCCGCAACUCACUGGCGACGUAUUAAAAUUCUUCUUAGAGGGACCGGCGGCUUCGAGCCGCACGAGAUUGAGCAAUAACAGGUCUGUGAUGCCCUUAGAUGUCCUGGGCCGCACGCGCGCUACACUGAAGGAAUCAGCAUGUUCUCCCUGGCCUAGAGGCCCGGGCAACCCGUUGAAACUCCUUCGUGCUGGGGAUUGGGGUUUGCAAUUAUCCCCCAUAAACGAGGAAUUCCUAGUAAGCGCGAGUCAUAAGCUCGCGUUGAUUACGUCCCUGCCCUUUGUACACACCGCCCGUCGCUACUACCGAUUGAAUGAUUUAGUGAGGUCUUCGGACCGACACGCGGUGGCUUCACGGCCGUCGGCGUUGCUGGGAAGUUGACCAAACUUGAUCAUUUAGAGGAAGUAAAAGUCGUAACAAGGUUUCCGUAGGU
rnacentral:rRNA from 1 species